GCCAGACUCCUACGGGAGGCAGCAGUGAGGAAUAUUGGUCAAUGGGCGAGAGCCUGAACCAGCCAAGUCGCGUGAGGGACGACGGCCCUACGGGUUGUAAACCUCUUUUGCCGGGGGACAAACGGCGGCACGCGUGCCGUCCUGAGGGUACCCGGAGAAAAAGCAUCGGCUAACUCCGUGCCAGCAGCCGCGGUAAUACGUAGGUGGCAAGCGUUAUCCGGAUUUACUGGGUGUAAAGGGCGUGUAGGCGGGGACGCAAGUCAGAUGUGAAAACCAUGGGCUCAACCUGUGGCCUGCAUUUGAAACUGUGUUUCUUGAGUACUGGAGAGGCAGACGGAAUUCCUAGUGUAGCGGUGAAAUGCGUAGAUAUUAGGAGGAACACCAGUGGCGAAGGCGGCCUGCUGGACGACAACUGACGGUGAGGCGCGAAAGCGUGGGGAGCAAACAGGAUUAGAUACCCGUGUAC
rnacentral:rRNA from 1 species